rnacentral:rRNA from 1 species
AGUCGAACGGCAGCACGGAGCUUGCUCUGGUGGCGAGUGGCGAACGGGUGAGUAAUAUAUCGGAACGUACCCUGGAGUGGGGGAUAACGUAGCGAAAGUUACGCUAAUACCGCAUACGAUCUAAGGAUGAAAGUGGGGGCUCGCAAGACCUCAUGCUCCUGGAGCGGCCGAUAUCUGAUUAGCUAGUUGGUAGGGUAAAAGCCUACCAAGGCAUCGAUCAGUAGCUGGUCUGAGAGGACGACCAGCCACACUGGAACUGAGACACGGUCCAGACUCCUACGGGAGGCAGCAGUGGGGAAUUUUGGACAAUGGGCGCAAGCCUGAUCCAGCAAUGCCGCGUGAGUGAAGAAGGCCUUCGGGUUGUAAAGCUCUUUUGUCAGGGAAGAAAAGGCUGUGGCUAAUAUCUACGGCUCAUGACGGUACCUGAAGAAUAAGCACCGGCUAACUACGUGCCAGCAGCCGCGGUAAUACGUAGGGUGCAAGCGUUAAUCGGAAUUACUGGGCGUAAAGCGUGCGCAGGCGGUUUUGUAAGACUGUCGUGAAAUCCCCGGGCUCAACCUGGGAAUGGCGAUGGUGACUGCAAGGCUAGAGUUUGGCAGAGGGGGGUAGAAUUCCACGUGUAGCAGUGAAAUGCGUAGAUAUGUGGAGGAACACCGAUGGCGAAGGCAGCCCCCUGGGUCAAAACUGACGCUCAUGCACGAAAGCGUGGGGAGCAAACAGGAUUAGAUACCCUGGUAGUCCACGCCCUAAACGAUGUCUACUAGUUGUCGGGUCUUAAUUGACUUGGUAACGCAGCUAACGCGUGAAGUAG